rnacentral:rRNA from 1 species
AUACGGAGGAUCCGAGCGUUAUCCGGAUUUAUUGGGUUUAAAGGGUGCGUAGGUGGUUUGAUAAGUCAGCGGUGAAAGUUUGCAGCUUAACUGUAAAAAUGCCGUUGAAACUGUCGGACUUGAGUGUAAAUGAGGUAGGCGGAAUGCGUGGUGUAGCGGUGAAAUGCAUAGAUAUCACGCAGAACUCCGAUUGCGAAGGCAGCUUACUAAGCUACAACUGACACUGAAGCACGGAAGCGUGGGGAUCAAACAGGAUUAGAUACCCUGGUAGUCCACGCAGUAAACGAUGAUUACUAGCUGUUUGCGAUACACAGUAAGCGGCACAGCGAAAGCGUUAAGUAAUCCACCUGGGGAGUACGCCGGCAACGGUGAAACUCAAAUGAAUGGGCGGGG